CCGAAACCCACAUCCUCAUUUUUAAUUUUUUAUCUUUCCCAUAAUUCUUCUCUUCUUCUUUCAACGUCUUUCAUUUUUCUCUUUCAAUUUCAUUCAAAAGCCUUCUCUAGCCCCUAACCCUCCUCACCAUUAGUUUUUCUUUCAAUUUCUUUCCAACAGCACCAAUCUUCCUAUAAAUGAAUAAAUACUAAAAAGUUGGGAGCUUUGCAUUUCAGUUAUAAAGGAGAGAGUAAAUUUCUCUAGUGGAAGAAAUAGAGGAAGCUGAGACAAGCUUAGGGUUUUAGUCCAUUACCUUGAGGUAAAUGAAGCUUCUUUAUCUCUUCAAAUAAAUUGUUUUUCCUAUCUCUUUAGGACUCCAAGCGGUAUAGUAAGUUGAAUAUUAUUGUAAAAUUAUUACAAAAAAAGGAGAAAAGAUAAUAGAGGAACCAACUCUGAAAAUUUCAAUUAAUAUAUUAAAUUUAUUUAUCAAUUGGGAUAAGUUGAGAGAAGGGAGAUUUAGGUGGUUUGGUUACGUGAAGUAUACACAUACGGAGUUUAUGUUGGUUCCUCUAUUAUCUUUUCUCCUUUUUUUGUAAUAAUUUUACAAUAAUAUUCAACUUACUAUACUGCUUGGAGUCCUAAAGAGAUAGGAAAAACAAUUUAUUUGAAGAGAUAAAGAAGCUUCAUUUACCUCAAGGUAAUGGACUAAAACCCUAAGCUUGUCUCAGCUUCCUCUAUUUCUUCCACUAGAGAAAUUUACUCUCUCCUUUAUAACUGAAAUGCAAAGCUCCCAACUUUUUAGUAUUUAUUCAUUUAUAGGAAGAUUGGUGCUGUUGGAAAGAAAUUGAAAGAAAAACUAAUGGUGAGGAGGGUUAGGGGCUAGAGAAGGCUUUUGAAUGAAAUUGAAAGAGAAAAAUGAAAGACGUUGAAAGAAGAAGAGAAGAAUUAUGGGAAAGAUAAAAAAUUAAAAAUGAGGAUGUGGGUUUCGG
rnacentral:misc_RNA from 1 species